ACCCUAGUGGCACAAUUGGUUAGCGCGUGGUGCUUAUAAUGCCGAGGCUGUGAGUUCGAGCCUCACCUAGGAAA